AUGCCAGCCCCGGCUGGCGCCGCGGCCCCCUCGGGCCCCCGCUCCGUUUUUCCGCUGCGGCGCGGGACACGGACACGGCGUCCCGGCUGCAUCAGCCCCACGCGCCCGGGCGGCGGGUGCUGGAAAAGAGGCGUCAGCCGGCACCUGCCGCCCCUGCGGGGCCACCGGCACCCGGCAUCGCCCCAACCCGGCAGCAGCGGAGCUGGGUCACGGAGCCGCCGGGGGCGAGGGAGGCGCCUCCGGGCAGGGGCGGCGCAGCGGGACGGGGGCUGUGGCAGGUGCCGGGGACCUCCACGGAGGAACGGGGCCCCCGGGGUGCCUGGCCCCGUGGAAAGCCAUCCCUGUCCCCAUCUCCCUCCUCAUCCUCAUCCCCGUUCCCAUCUCCGCCAUCUCCCUUGUCCUCGUCCCUGUCCCCAUCUCCCUCCUCAUCCUCGUCCCUGUUCCCAUCCCCAUCUCCCUCCUCAUCCUCAUCCUUGUCCCCAUCUCCCUCCUCAUCCUCGUCCCCAUCCCCAUCUCCCUCCUCAUCCUCGUCCCUGUUCCCGUCCCCAUCUCCCUCCUCAUCCUCGUCCCUGUCCCCAUCUCCCUCCUCAUCCUUGUCCCCGUCCCCAUCUCCCUGUCCCCAUCCCCAUCUCCCUCCUCAUCCCCGUUCCUGUUCCCAUCUCUGUCCUCAUCCCUGUUCCCAUCCCCAUCCCUGUCCCCAUUCCCAUCUCCCUCCUCAUCCUCAUCCCCGUUCCUGUUCCCAUCUCUGUCCUCAUCCCUGUUCCCAUCCUCAUCCCUGUUCCCAUUCCCAUCUCCCUCCUCAUCCUCAUCCCCAUCCCGCAUGCGCUCCUCAGUGGGGCCAGGCCUCCUCCCGGUGCUCUGACCCGCCUCGGCUUCCUCUUCCUCCUCCUCACCUGUGCCCGAGCCAGGCGGCGGCAGUCAGCUGAGCCGGCCAGGCCCCUCCCCGGCCGCUGCGCCCGGAUAAAACCCCGGGGCUCGGGGCGAAGGGCAGCGCUGGAGCCGGGAGCUGCCUGCAGGUGA
rnacentral:lncRNA from 1 species